UGAGGAAUAUUGGUCAAUGGUCGCAAGACUGAACCAGCCAUGCCGCGUGCAGGAAGACGGUCCUAUGGAUUGUAACUGCUUUUAUACGGGAAGAAACCCUCCCACGUGUGGGAGCCUUGACGGUACUGUAGGAAUAAGGAUCGGCUUAACUCCGUGC
rnacentral:rRNA from 1 species